GGCCGGAGCGGGCCCCUCGGGGCUGGGGGCCGGCCGGAACAAGGCCCACUGCGCGGACGGUGGCCGUCGCCCCCGGUGUGAUUCUGCUAGGGGAGGAACUCAUCAAGAAGACAUGACCGCCCCCUGACCCACAAGCUGGCCCCAGGCAGCUGGAGGCUCCCAGCCCCUCCCCAUCCUUGGAAGGUGGGUCGUGCCCAUCAUUCCCACAGUGGGAGACGUUUGCAAGGACACAGCCUUAAGAGAGCCAUGCGUUUUUGAGACCAUGUAGACAUGUGGAUGGGACACAGGACUGAGCCCAGGGAAAUGUUUUCCAUUGGCUGAUUGAUGGCAGCCGAAAGGCGCCCCUCAGGGUCCCAUCCCCACACUGCACGUUGGUAAAUUCUGAAUGGUGGUAAUGAUGCUUGCAAUAUCAUUUCACGGGAAGCUGGAAAGGUGCGACGGGCAGCUGCCCCUAAGAGAAACACAAUUAAUUCCAAUGAGAACACUGAGGCAAUCUGACGAGAGCGGGGUGCUAUCCCAGUCCAGAGGGGUGGGGCUCCUGGACACCCACACUUUGACUCGGCAUAACAGGCACUGAAGAUACAAAAGAAGAAUAGCACAAUCCUUGUCUAAAAGUCCUUAAGAGU